CUUUGAAAGAAUGAUCGAAGGUUCGUGAAACCCUUACUAUCGGAGGCUUAAACAAGAGAUUUCUUGAUGGAAGUUACAUUUGAUGUAUCGACUGGCUGGAAUUAAGAUACCCUCCUCGAGCUCGACUUCAAGGCUGCUACAGACUUUUUCACACUCCUCUGGAACUGUUGGAACAAUAGGAACAAGUUGGUUUUCCAGGAAAAUGACGAUCCUGCUACAACGGUUUGGGAAGGGCUCAUACUCUCAGUAAUGAUUUUAGAGUUUUCAACUUGAAUGAACCCCC
rnacentral:lncRNA from 1 species